rnacentral:lncRNA from 1 species
AGUGCAAGAGCAGUGAUUCUGGGAUUCAGAUAUGCCAAAGAGAAGCCAUGAAGUGCAUCUUUUAAAUUAAAAGCCUACCUAUUCUCCCAGAGGGCAUGCAUUCUAUGGAGACAGAGCUGAAUGUGUGCCAUCAGAAGACCAAAAUCAAGCGACAUUUUAAAAAGAAAACAGACUCUUCUGGGAAAAAUGGUGACUCCACAAAGUAAGAAGCCACCAAGACUUGUAGGACAUUCCUUCAUCUUCUCCUGGAUGGGGCAACCCAGCCAUGGAUAUAUGCCUCCAAUCAGCAUAAAUGCCCAUUGCUUGAUAAAGUCAACACACGUGUAAGAUGGAAAUUCUGUUUCUUGAAGGGAACUCCUCAGAGAAAAGGACCACAAGCAAAUUGCUGCUGCUACAAAAUGAUACCAUAAUGAGAAUGGAAAUAAUCCUGGAUUCUCUGCUCAUUUCGACAAGUAAAAUAAGGCACAUAUUUUUCAA